GAUGAACGCUGGCGGCGUGCCUAAUACAUGCGAGUCGAGCGAACGGACGAGAAGCUUGCUUCUCUGAUGUUAGCGGCGGACGGGUGAGUAACACGUGGAUAACCUACCUAUAAGACUGGGAUAACUUCGGGAAACCGGAGCUAAUACCGGAUAAUAUUUUGAACCGCAUGGUUCAAAAGUGAAAGACGGUCUUGCUGUCACUUAUAGAUGGAUCCGCGCUGCAUUAGCUAGUUGGUAAGGUAACGGCUUACCAAGGCAACGAUGCAUAGCCGACCUGAGAGGGUGAUCGGCCACACUGGAACUGAGACACGGUCCAGACUCCUACGGGAGGCAGCAGUAGGGAAUCUUCCGCAAUGGGCGAAAGCCUGACGGAGCAACGCCGCGUGAGUGAUGAAGGUCUUCGGAUCGUAAAACUCUGUUAUUAGGGAAGAACAUAUGUGUAAGUAACUGUGCACAUCUUGACGGUACCUAUUCAGAAAGCCACGGCUAACUACGUG
rnacentral:rRNA from 1 species